rnacentral:rRNA from 1 species
GACGAACGCUGGCGGCGUGCUUAACACAUGCAAGUCGAACGGAAAGGCCCUGCUUUUGUGGGGUGCUCGAGUGGCGAACGGGUGAGUAACACGUGAGUAACCUGCCCUUGACUUUGGGAUAACUUCAGGAAACUGGGGCUAAUACCGGAUAGGAGCUCCUGCUGCAUGGUGGGGGUUGGAAAGUUUCGGCGGUUGGGGAUGGACUCGCGGCUUAUCAGCUUGUUGGUGGGGUAGUGGCUUACCAAGGCUUUGACGGGUAGCCGGCCUGAGAGGGUGACCGGCCACAUUGGGAGUGAGAUACGGCCCAGACUCCUACGGUAGGCAGCAGGGGGGAAUAUUGCACAAUGGGCGGAAGCCUGAUGCAGCAACGCCGCGUGCGGGAUGACGGCCUUCGGGUUGUAAACCGCUUUCGCCUGUGACGAAGCGUGAGUGACGGUAAUGGGUAAAGAAGCACCCGCUAACUACGUG